UGGGGAAUUUUGGACAAUGGGGGAAACCCUGAUCCAGCCAUCCCGCGUGUGCGAUGAAGGCCUUCGGGUUGUAAAGCACUUUUGGCAGGAAAGAAACGUCAUGGGUUAAUACCCCGUGAAACUGACGGUACCUGCAGAAUAAGCACCGGCUAACUACGUGCCAGCAGCCGCGGUAAUACGUAGGGUGCAAGCGUUAAUCGGAAUUACUGGGCGUAAAGCGUGCGCAGGCGGUUCGGAAAGAAAGAUGUGAAAUCCCAGAGCUCAACUUUGGAACUGCAUUUUUAAUUACCGGGCUAGAGUGUGUCAGAGGGAGGUGGAAUUCCGCGUGUAGCAGUGAAAUGCGUAGAUAUGCGGAGGAACACCGAUGGCGAAGGCAGCCUCCUGGGAUAACACUGACGCUCAUGCACGAAAGCGUGGGGAGCAAACAGG
rnacentral:rRNA from 1 species